rnacentral:RNase_P_RNA from 1 species
GAAGUGAACCGGAUGGUUGCUCCGAUAUUUAUCGGAGAGGAAAGUCCGAACUCCACAGGGCGGAGUGUUCCGUGAAAACGGAAGGGGAGUAAUCCUACGGAAAGUGGCACAGAAACCAGGUACAGGUAAUGCUGUAGUGAAAAGGCUAAACCCCACUCGGAGCAAGACCGAAUAGCAGAGAAGAGACGGCCCGUCUCGCUACUACUCU